rnacentral:rRNA from 1 species
GACGAACGCUGGCGGCGUGCCUAAUACAUGCAAGUUGAGCGCUGAAGGUUGGUACUUGUACCAACUGGAUGAGCAGCGAACGGGUGAGUAACGCGUGGGGAAUCUGCCUUUGAGCGGGGGACAACAUUUGGAAACGAAUGCUAAUACCGCAUAAAAACUUUAAACACAAGUUUUAAGUUUGAAAGAUGCAAUUGCAUCACUCAAAGAUGAUCCCGCGUUGUAUUAGCUAGUUGGUGAGGUAAAGGCUCACCAAGGCGAUGAUACAUAGCCGACCUGAGAGGGUGAGCAGCCACAGUGGGACUGAGACACGGCCCAAACGGCUACGGGAGGCAGCAGGAGGGAAUCUUCGGCAAUGGACGAAAGUCUGACCGAGAAACGCCGCGUGAGGGAAGAAGGGUGUCGGAUCGUAAAACUCUGCUGGUAGAGAAGAACGUGGGUGAGAGUGGAAAGCUCAUCAAGUGACGGUAACUACCCAGAAAGGGACGGCUAACUACGUG